rnacentral:rRNA from 1 species
UACGAAGGGGGCUAGCGUUGCUCGGAAUUACUGGGCGUAAAGCGCACGUAGGCGGCUUUCCAAGUCGGGGGUGAAAUCCUGGAGCUCAACUCCAGAACUGCCUUCGAUACUGGAGAGCUCGAGUCCGGGAGAGGUGAGUGGAACUGCGAGUGUAGAGGUGAAAUUCGUAGAUAUUCGCAAGAACACCAGUGGCGAAGGCGGCUCACUGGCCCGGUACUGACGCUGAGGUGCGAAAGCGUGGGGAGCAAACAGG